rnacentral:rRNA from 1 species
GUGAUUAGCGGCGCGAUNCCCCUUGUGCAAGCAGCCGCGGUAAUUCCAGCUCCAAUAGCGUAUAUUAAAGUUGUUGCAGUUAAAAAGCUCGUAGUUGAACUUCAGACCUGGCUGGGCGGUCUGCCUAACGGUAUGUACUGUCCGGCUGGGUCUUACCUCUUGGUGAGCCGGCAUGCCCUUCACUGGGUGUGUCGGGGAACCAGGACUUUUACUUUGAGAAAAUUAGAGUGUUCAAAGCAGGCUUAUGCCCGAAUACAUUAGCAUGGAAUAAUAAAAUAGGACGUGCGGUUCUAUUUUGUUGGUUUCUAGAGUCGCCGUAAUGAUUAAUAGGGAUAGUUGGGGGCAUUAGUAUUCCGUUGCUAGAGGUGAAAUUCUUGGAUUUACGGAAGACUAACUAUUGCGAAAGCAUUUGCCAAGGACGUUUCCAUUAAUCAAGAACGAAGGUUAGGGGAUCGAAAACGAUCAGAUACCGUUGUAGUCUUAACA